AACUUUCAACAACGGAUCUCUUGGCUCUCGCAUCGAUGAAGAACGCAGCGAAAUGCGAUAAGUAAUGUGAAUUGCAAAAUUCAGUGAAUCAUCGAAUCUUUGAACGCACCUUGCGCCCCUUGGUAUUCCGAGGGGCAUGCCUGUUUGAGUGUCA
rnacentral:rRNA from 1 species